GCUCUGUUGUUGUUGUUGUUUUAUUAAUCAAACAGCAAAACAAGUACAACUUCCUCUCUUACUUCUUACAUCUCCCGCCAAAUAUUUACGGAAGUGAGCAGAGCGCAUUACCACAGUGGAUUUGUCGACGGGCAUACCGUGUGGUCUGGCUCACAGAGAAGUGCUUGAUCUGCAGAGCAUUCUUGUUGGACUCCAGCUGGUCGAAGAUGUCAGCCAAACCUCCAGGAGCAAAUGGGACGUGGUACUCCACCACAGUCGAGUGCUGGUCCUGUGUGUUGAAAAAGGAUGACCAAAUGGAGCCCAGGCAUCGGAACUGACCUUUCACCAUGAUGGCAAGACGGCUGCACAGUGCCUCACAUUCCUCCAUGCUGAGAUUUGGAGACAAAGAGGGAAAGAUAAAAGGUCAUACAAAGGUCCAUUAGGAUAAAAGUAAUUACCCAUGCCAGCUGUCACACAGAAAUAAAAAUAUAUAUAUUUAUAUAUGUUAUUGCAUUUGUUAUCUAGAGUAUGCUGUGGGAAAAAGAUUGAAUGGCUUUCUCCUAGAAUGCUAAUCAUCUCUGCACAAAUCUCUCCUUUGUGCUAAGGUCAUAUAAUGGGUGCAUGAUAUCU